rnacentral:tRNA from 1 species
UGGGGUAUAGCUCAGUGGUAGAGUGCCUGCUUAGCGUGUGCAAGGUCCUGAGUUCAAUCCCUAGUACCUCUG